rnacentral:rRNA from 1 species
GACGAACGCCUUCGGCGUGCUUAACACAUGCAAGUCGAACGGAAAGGCCCUGCUUUUGUGGGGUGCUCGAGUGGCGAACGGGUGAGUAACACGUGAGUAACCUGCCCUUGACUUUGGGAUAACUUCAGGAAACUGGGGCUAAUACCGGAUAGGAGCUCCUGCUGCAUGGUGGGGGUUGGAAAGUUUCGGCGGUUGGGGAUGGACUCGCGGCUUAUCAGCUUGUUGGUGGGGUAGUGGCUUACCAAGGCUUUGACGGGUAGCCGGCCUGAGAGGGUGACCGGCCACAUUGGGACUGAGAUACGGCCCAGACUCCUACGGGAGGCAGCAGUGGGGAAUAUUGCACAAUGGGCGGAAGCCUGAUGCAGCAACGCCGCGUGCGGGAUGACGGCCUUCGGGUUGCAAACCGCUUUCGCCUGUGACGAAGCGUGAGUGACGGUAAUGGGUAAAGAAGCACCGGCUAACUACGUGCCAGCAGCCGCGGUGAUACGUAGGGUGCGAGCGUUGUCCGGAUUUAUUGGGCGUAAAGGGCUCGUAGGUGGUUGAUCGCGUCGGAAGUGUAAUCUUGGGGCUUAACCCUGAGCGUGCUUUCGAUACGGGUUGACUUGAGGAAGGUAGGGGAGAAUGGAAUUCCUGGUGGAGCGGUGGAAUGCGCAGAUAUCAGGUGGAACACCAGUGGCGAAGGCGGUUCUCUGGGCCUUUCCUGACGCUGAGGAGCGAAAGCGUGGGGAGCGAACAGGCUUAGAUACCCUGGUAGUCCACGCUGUAAACGGUGGGUACUAGGUGUGGGGUCCAUUCCACGGGUUCCGUGCCGUAGCUAACGCUUUAAGUACCCCGCCUGGGGAGUACGGCCGCAAGGCUAAAACUCAAAGGAAUUGACGGGGCCCCGCACAAGCGGCGGAGCAUGCGGAUUAAUUCGAUGCAACGCGUAGAACCUUACCUGGGUUUGACAUGGAUCGGGAGUGCCCAGAGAUGGGUGUGCCUCUUUUGGGGUCGGUUCACAGGUGGUGCAUGCCUGUCGUCAGCUCGUGUCGUGAGAUGUUGGGUUAAGUCCCGCAACGAGCGCAACCCUUGUUUACUGUUGCCAGCACGUUAUGGUGGGGACUCAGUGGAGACCGCCGGGGUCAACUCGGAGGAAGGUGGGGAUGACGUCAAGUCCUCAUGCCCCUUAUGUCCAGGGCUUCACGCAUGCUACAAUGGCUGGUACAGAGAGUGGCGAGCCUGUGAGGGUGAGCGAAUCUCGGAAAGCCGGUCUCAGUUCGGAUUGGGGUCUGCAACUCGACCUCAUGAAGUCGGAGUCGCUAGUAAUCGAAGAUCAGCAACGCUGCGGUGAAUACGUUCCCGGGGCC